CGAGGGGGUCUGCGUCUGACCGGCUUCUCCUGGUGAACAAACAGACGUCAUUAAUCCGCUCUGAUGUGACGGCAGGCCGACAGCCUGAUGCCGUCUGAGUCCAGAGGACAACAGUGUCGACCUCGUCCUUUCACCACCACAGAGUGAACUGACUGGACCACAGAGGAGGAACAGAUUGAGCCACAGAGUGUGAGUCCCCAGACCCCCACGUCUCGUAGACCAAACCCCCCAGACUGAAGAGACGCCAAACCGCAUCAGACGACAGGUUUCACUUUGCUCGUUUUGUCUCUUCGGUCGUUCUUUGAGUUGGUUUGGUCCGUUCUGAAGCCGUUUGGUGUCUCUUUUCUGCUGGAUGGGUUUGUCUCCUUGCAGUCGUUUAGUGUCCUUGUGGCUGGAGUUGGUCUCUUUACAGUCAUUGUGAGUCUGUCUGUAGUCGUGUUCUCUUCACAGUUGGGAACCCCGUUGACAGUCACUUCAUACUGGGCUUUGGGGUCUGUGAUGCUGAACUCACCGUUUCAUGUCCGGCAGCAUCGGGUGGAGGAGCCGAGCUUUUGAAUCGUCCUGCCAGUUCGGCCACAGAGCGCCGGGAUGGAGUCUCGUCCUGAGGGAAGGAAAGAAGGAAGCAAGAAGGACUUAAGGAAACUUAAAACCAAAAGACCUGACGGCACCUUCAACAGGAGCGUCCUGAUGGCAUCUGAAGCAACGUUUGAUUUUAUGGUUCACUUCGCUCUGCUGCUUCGUCAUCAUAUCACAUGUGAAAAGUCAAAAAUGUUCGCUCAAGCUGAGGUAAAAUUCUGGUGAUCUUCGGCAGUUUCCUCCUCUGUGUGUAAUCCAGCCUCCAACACAGCAAAGACAACACGCACACAGCGAGCACAGACUUUAAAGAAGAGUUUUACCUCCAUCCUGCUGGUCGUCUGGCAGCGGCCUCAGUUAUGUCGAGUGUGUGAGCGCGAGUCGGCCUGCGGGUUAAAUAUAGAAGCAGCAGCCAGAGAGAGAGAGAGAGAGCAGCUCAUGUUCUGUCACAUGUCGAUCGUCCUGCAGCCUCACACUCAUUCACAAGCUCUGACUUUAAACCAGCAAGCGGUCGGACUCCAGUGAGGUGACGCAGCAGGGACGCCGGGACCUGGUCCACACAGACGUUUCACAUCAGACUGUAAAAGAGCCCCUAAAGACUCGACUCCGUCUCACGUCACGUUCACUGUCACUCCCCACUGUAACACAGCACUGCGCUGCACUUGCAAAUAUACAGUGUGUGUAUAUUCUGUGUUUAGUAUGUCAUGUUGCAGCCUACUUGUGUGUGUGAAUAUUUUGUUCUUAUUGUUUAUUUUGCCGUUGGUACUAUUGCAUUGCAUUGUAGCAUACUGUGUUUAUUGUCUUGUUGUUUAGACUGUUAUUGUACUGUUGUAUUUUGUGUUGUUUAAAAUGGGUGUAUUUUUGGCUUUAUUUUUUUUCCUUUAUACUCAUGUCUUUAUACUCAUGUAUGUACUCAGUUUGUGUACUCCUUUAUGCAGCAUGUGGCAUCCUGGAAGAACGUUGUUUCAUUGCUCUGCGUGCUACACAAACACGCUUGUGAUGACCUUUUUCUUUCCUGAGAUGCUGCAACACUUGAAUUUCCCUUCUGGAGAUCAAUAAAGGAUUUUCUUGUCUUAAA